rnacentral:rRNA from 1 species
AUUGAACGCUGGCGGCAGGCCUAACACAUGCAAGUCGAGCGGAGCGGCGGACGGGUGGGUAAUGCCUAGGAAUCUGCCUGGUAGUGGGGGAUAACGUCAGGCAACGGGCGCUAAUACAGCAUCCUAUCAGAUGAGCCUAGGUGGGAUUAGGUAGUUGGUGGGGGAAAGGCCUACCAAGGCGACGAUCCGUAACUGGUCUGAGAGGAUGAUCAGGCACACUGGAAAUUAGACACGGGCCAGACUCCUACGGGAGGCAGCAGGGGCGAAUAUUGGAGAAUGGGCGAAAGCCUGAUCCAGCCAUGCCGCGUGUGUUAAGAAGGUCUUCGGAUUGUAAAGCAUUUUAAGUUGGGAGGCGUUACCUGCAGAAUAAGCACCGGCUAACUUCGUGCCAGCAGCCGCGGUAAUUC